rnacentral:rRNA from 1 species
UAGGGAAUCUUCCACAAUGGACGCAAGUCUGAUGGAGCAACGCCGCGUGAGUGAAGAAGGUUUUCGGAUCGUAAAGCUCUGUUGUUGGUGAAGAAGGAUAGAGGCAGUAACUGGUCUUUAUUUGACGGUAAUCAACCAGAAAGUCACGGCUAACUACGUGCCAGCAGCCGCAGUAAUACGUAGGUGGCAAGCGUUGUCCGGAUUUAUUGGGCGUAAAGCGAGCGCAGGCGGAAGGAUAAGUCUGAUGUGAAAGCCCACGGCUCAACCGUGGAACUGCAUCGGAAACUGUCAUUCUUGAGUGCAGAAGAGGAGAGUGGAAUUCCAUGUGUAGCGGUGGAAUGCGUAGAUAUAUGGAAGAACACCAGUGGCGAAGGCGGCUCUCUGGUCUGCAACUGACGCUGAGGCUCGAAAGCAUGGGUAGCGAACAGG